ensembl:lncRNA
CAGGUGUUUAACAGUAAUUGUGGGCUCCAGACACAUCUCAGGAUCAAAGGCAAGACCCUCCUCUUGCCACUGAUUCUUACCUUCCUCACAUCUGCGAAGGGCAUGAUGACUGCUGUGUGAGGAUUAAGGGAAAUCAUGGACAUGGAAUGAUGGAAAUGAUGGAACAGGCUUUGAAAACUGUAAAGUGCUUACAAUGGAGGGAAAGGGUUACAAUUUGUUUGCUCUAAUGCUGCAUUCAGAGGAUUAAAUGAGAAUUACUGAAGGUGGCGAUCAGAGGUGGCCCAGUUCUCAAAGUAGAGAGAUGCAGCGUUUCGUUUCAAAAAAAGCAGUCGGAAGGAUCCUGCUAAACCCGAAUGGAAUCUCACUCCUCUACCUUCUCUUCUCAACACCCCUCGAACGCGGAGCCUUUAACAGCUCAUCUUGUGGACUUUGCUCAGUGUCGUUUCCCAUUUCUUAGUUACUUGCUUUCAACAGGUCCUUGAGAAGCGCUUAAUACUACCUUUCCGACCAGGGCCUGUAAGCGUCGUGGGGAUGAGAUAAAGAGAAGACCUGCAAAGAGGAAUUUUCUUCGUUGCAUUUCAAGACCUUAGUUCACGAGAUUAUCCUGGCUGCUUGCUGCUUGACAAAUUCCCUUUUUGCCUGUAAAGAGUUACUUCCAAGGUCACUUCUGCGAAAGACUUCUAUUACCGGAAGCCCAUUUCCAGUGCUGCUAUGGAAAUUUGUACAUGUCAAUUUUAGCGCUUUGCCUCUUGAGUGUUCUGUGCUUUGUUUGGGUUGUGCCGGAUAACGUGCGUAGCCCAGGGUAAGCGGAAGCCUAU